UCGUGUGUGGUGAUGACCGCUGAUUCGGCGAACUAAAUCGUCGGACCAGAGGAAAGUCCGAACACUAGAAGGCAGCAAGCCGUGCGAAAGCGCGGGCGACCGUUAGCGAAAGCUGCGGUUGACGGAAAGUGUCACAGAAAAUACACCGCCCAGCACCAAUUUGGGAUUACUCUAUAAGGGAGAGCGAAUGUCAGCUCGAAUCCCAAACUGGUGCUGGGUAAGGGUGAAAAGGCGGGGUAAGAGCCCACCGGCUGUGUCCGUAAGGAUCGGCGCACGAAAAACCCCUUGCAGUGCAAGACAGAACAGAGAGUCAGAUGCCUUCCUUCCCGGCACAGCCGGGGGCUCUCGGGUAAUAGUCGCACCCCGGUAUUGGGGCAUUCCUAUUUAAUAAUAGGAUGAGAUAAAUGGUCAUCCCGAUUGAUCUGGUAACUGCCGCAUCGAUUGGACAGAAUUCGGCUUAAACCACAAAAAGGGAU
rnacentral:RNase_P_RNA from 1 species